GAAAAAUAUUCCAAUAUCGUAAAGGCGAUGGACUUUUUUUUAUGGGAGAUCCUUCUUCAAGGCUUCACGAUGAUCGAAUCGUUUUUCUUCUACAGUGGUUUUAUGGUUAUGUAUUUGAGACAAAAGCGUGGAAACAACUCUGUGAAGCACUAUAUCAUGCCUUUAGUCAAGAAAAUUUUCAGAUUCACUUUUCCGGUAAUCUUUGUUUUGGGCUUUGCAAUUCUUCUGCCUCUACUCGGAGAUGGUCCUCAUUGGCA